GACGAACGCUGGCGGCGCGCUUAACACAUGCAAGUCGAGCGAGAACCCAGGCUUCGGCCUGGGGGAAAGCGGCGAACGGGUGAGUAACACGUGGGUAAUCUGCCCUCGGCAUCGGGAUAGCCCGGGGAAACCCGGAUUAAUACCGGAUGGCCCGACAGCUCUUCGGAGCGGUCGGAAAAGGUAGCUUCGGCCUCCGGCCGAGGAGGAGCCCGCGGCGGAUUAGCUUGUUGGUGAGGUAAUGGCUCACCAAGGCUCCGAUCCGUAGCUGGUCUGAGAGGACGAUCAGCCACACUGGGACUGAGACACGGCCCAGCCUCCGACGGGAGGCAGCAGUGGGGAAUCUUGCGCAAUGGGCGAAAGCCUGACGCAGCGACGCCGCGUGAGGGAAGAAGGCCUUCGGGUUGUAAACCUCUUUCAGGAGGGACGAAGCCACUCGGGUUAAUAGCCCAGAGGGUGACGGUACCUCCAGAAGAAGCCCCGGCUAACUACGUGCCAGCCGCCGCCGUAA
rnacentral:rRNA from 1 species